UACGUAGGGUGCAAGCGUUAAUCGGAAUUACUGGGCGUAAAGCGUGCGCAGGCGGUGAUGUAAGACAGUUGUGAAAUCCCCAGGCUCAACCUGGGAACUGCAUUCGAGACUGCAUUGCUAGAGUAUGGGAGAGGGAAGUGGAAUUUCCGGUGUAGCGGUGAAAUGCGUAGAUAUCGGAAGGAACAUCAGUGGCGAAAGCGACUUCCUGGACCAAUACUGACGCUCAUGUGCGAAAGCGUGGGGAGCAAACAGG
rnacentral:rRNA from 1 species